rnacentral:rRNA from 1 species
AUUGAACGCUGGCGGCAUGCCUUACACAUGCAAGUCGAACGGCAGCACGGGGGCAACCCUGGUGGCGAGUGGCGAACGGGUGAGUAAUGCAUCGGAACGUACCCGGAAGUGGGGGAUAACGUAGCGAAAGUUACGCUAAUACCGCAUAUUCUGUGAGCAGGAAAGUGGGGGACCGCAAGGCCUCACGCUUUCGGAGCGGCCGAUGUCGGAUUAGCUAGUUGGCGGGGGAAAGGCCCACCAAGGCGACGAUCCGUAGCGGGUCUGAGAGGAUGAUCCGCCACACUGGGACUGAGACACGGCCCAGACUCCUACGGGAGGCAGCAGUGGGGAAUUUUGGACAAUGGGCGCAAGCCUGAUCCAGCCAUGCCGCGUGAGUGAAGAAGGCAUUCGGGUUGUAAAGCUCUUUCGGCGGGGAAGAAAUUGCUCAGGUUAAUACCUUGAGUAGAUGACGGUACCCGCAUAAGAAGCACCGGCUAACUACGUGCCAGCCGCCGCCGUAAUAC